rnacentral:lncRNA from 1 species
GAGCAUUGUAGCACACAAAGUGCAGAAGUAGACAUGAAAGGUUUAUUGUAAAGAAUAUUACAGAAGAUGUAGAUGAAGAGAUGCAUACAAAAAGGGUAUUGGAUUGGAAGAUGCAUUAUACGGUCAUCCUAAACAAGUAUUCCUGGUGAUUCUGGCACAGUUGACUCAUGAACAUAAACUGCUCGAAUGUUUGUCCUAAUUGAGUAAGGAGAACACCAAACCAUCACUUUUCCUCCUUGAGUGAGGCCAUGUGUGGCUAUCUUAUGAAAUAGAAAAAUGGUAUAAAAUAAAA